rnacentral:rRNA from 1 species
CCAAUAGCGUAUAUUAAAGUUGUUGCAGUUAAAAAGCUCGUAGUUGAAUUUCGAGAUCAGUACGCUGGUCGUGCCUUCGGUAUGCACUGGUGUCACUGGUUUCUCCCUUCUGAAGAACCGUCAUGCCAUUCAGUUGGUGUGGCGGGGUAUCAGGACUGUUACUUUGAAAAAAUUAGAGUGGUUGACGCAGGCUCGCGCUUGAAUACAUUAGCAUGGAAUAAUGAAAUAGGACGUUUGACCCUAUUUUGUUGGUUUCUAGGAUCGACGUAAUGAUUAAUAGGGAUAGUUGGGGGCAUUAGUAUUCAACUGUCAGAGGUGAAAUUCUUGGAUUUAUCGAAGACUAACUACUGCGAAAGCAUUUGCCAAGGAUGUUUUCAUUAAUCAAGAACGAAAGUUAGGGGAUCGAAGACGAUCAGAUACCGUCGUAGUCUUAACCAUAAACUAUGCCGACUAGGGAUCGGAUGAUGUUAAUUUUUUAAUGACUCAUUCGGCGCCUUACG